UCUCUAACUUCGUAACAACGAUGUCGUUAUCGUUACGUGUCGUUGCGCAACUAAAACGUAUCGAGAAAUAGCUGCGCAAGGACGCAUAACUAUAGCGCAUUUGUCCUUAAAAGUUACAGAAUAGAGGUCUGGAAUGUUGUCUACAAUUAAGAUGAUAUAUAUUGAGGACGGCAUUGUAAAAGGUUUAUAUCGUGGAAUGAGUAUCAAUUUCUUACGAGCAAUUCCUUUCAUGGCAGUUGGUUUUGCUGUGUAUGAAGUGACAAAACAGAUGCUAAGUUUAGACACAGGAGUAAAAUUAUAAUUAAAUACAUAAUAUUAC